CCAGGCGCGAGGCGCGAGGCGCGGCGCGCGCGGUAACGCCGCGGGGCGGGAGCGCUGAGGGCAGGUGCACCAUGGAACCAUGGAGUGGGAAAAGCUGGGAGGCACCGCAGUCUGGGCCAAAAUGCAGGCGGGGUCAGCCUAGAGCACACGGCUCAGGUUUGCUUCCAGACGGUUCCUGGAUAACCGGGAGACCCCACGAUCUCUCUGGGCGACCUGUUCACUUGCUCACUUCUCCCCCACACCCAGUGUGGGGGGAAACAGAAAAGGAAAAGCAAGGAAACUGGUAGGUCAAGGUACAGCUCAGUAUGUGAAAAAAUAAGAGAGAAGGAAACCAGAACAAGGGCUCAGGCAGUCACUGUCCACUCCCCAGGGGUAUGCCAGUUCCCAGGAAAACGAUGGUUAAUUUCCCUCUCUGCCCGGGAGCACGAUGUUACACAGCUGGUUUAGUGGUGUCACCUGCCCCUCCAUUUGGCACCCCCAGUGUUCACUGGGGCAACAGAGCAAGAAACAGAAAACGCCUCGGUGCCGAUGCUGUUCAGCAAUGACAGCCCACCCAGCCGCUGUAAAGAACAUUGAGUCAGAUCCAGUACUAUAGAUCACAAAAUAUCUUCGAGAGGGAGGAUGGUGAGGUCUUCCACCUGAAGAGACAUGGUGUUGUCAGUGUCAUGUAAUGCUCAUACAUAUAUUCAGCAGUAAAAAAACCACAGCCCCCUGUGUCUUGGCCUGGAAAUAGGCAGGGGUCUGGGACAGCUGGUCUUAAGCUUUUGAGACUUUGCAAGAAUACUAUAAAAAUUUUAUAAUCCAGAAUGAUUUCCUCCUUCCAAAUAAUUACUUGGGAAAAUGAGAUGUUCGGUAGAAAAUUAAUUUAUAUUCUGGGAAAAUAUUUCUGAAAUUCUCGGGGGACAGGAGAGAAGAGUCAGUCGCAGAGAAACAGAGAAACUGUAAAAGGCAGUAUCACAUUUCUGGGAGAGGAGCAAAAAUUAUCUAAAUCUAAGCAAAGACGUAGUUGAAUGGUGGGAGUAAAAGAAUUUUUAAAUUUGCCGUGCCUCGCUGGAGCACAGGGUGGAGGUAAUGAUCCAGGUCUGGGUCCAUUGAAGUGAAGGGCUCCCAUGAUACAGCUUCCAUACAACAAAAAACAGACCUGUACUUCAUAAAGUUUUAGGUUUUGUGAUGUAUCCAUAAUUUUGCUGUGGUAAUUGAUUCUCACCUGUUGGCAUUUGUCAGCUAGCUCAGCCUUAUUUCUUAUCCAUUUUAUAUUGUUUUUAAAGAAAUAUUUAAAUUUUAAUUUUUAAAUUUAAUAUUUAAUUAAAGAAAGAUUCUUUCUCUCGAUAUGUUUAAAUUAGUGCAGAUGGCAAUGAGUGUAUGCAGAGUUUGCAGGAAUAAUGCCUGCUGGAUUCACAUUACAGACCAGGUUGCUUGUGGUCUCUGGGAACAUUUAGUGCACCCUGGACUGGUCUGUUAAAAACCUAUUCUGUGGGCAUCUGGGAAUGAGCUGCCUAACAGCAUAGGAGGAAUGGUAGGAUAACUAGAUGCUGUAGGGCAUCUGUUCUGAAGUGCAGGUAGGUGUUACUUGAUUGCAACAGGUAAUCUCUUGUGGUAACAAAUCGAUACAGAAUCAUAAAAUGAUUUAGAUUGGAGGAAGCCUCUGAAGUUCAAAGCAGGGCCAACCUUACAGUAAGUUUCUCAGUUUGCUCCUCCCAAAUGGUUUCAUCAUGCCUUUGUUGUCAGCUCACUAUGAGGGAUUCCACCACUGAGCAGUGCUCUCAGAAAAGGGAACAUAACUGAAUCAUUGUUGCUAAUUUAAUUGUUCUGUAAUGCCUCUGCUACGCUGAAAUCAAAAUUGCAUUGGUCUAUUUAUUAAUUGAAUUUCACGGAGUGUCUUCACAGACACAGGUUUCCCUAGGUAAUCUUAACUUUUGCAUGAUGGUUUUUGUUGCUGAGUGAUUUGCAAAAAUUGCAAACCACUUAAUCUUCACAGCAGAAGCAUUUUCAGACUGCUUUGUUGCAAAUGCAGUUUUCUAUUGUGUUCAUAGUAGGACAAAAUAUUUCCAAAAGCAUCCUGAGAUGCUGCAGCAAAAAUGCAUUUAUUUUGUAACAAUGUUGUAGUUUCUUUUUCAGCUUUUCAGUUCCCCUGACAAACCCACAUGCUACUAAGGCUCAUAAUUAAAAAAUAACCAUUGAUGUACAUCUGCAGGCAAUUUUUUAACAUACCUUUUUCACCCACAGUCUCUUGAGACUCAGUAGUGUUUACUGCCAAAGUUCAUUCAUUUGGAUGACAGCCAGGAUAUCUUUGCUUUUAUGCUCUUUGAUGGGACAGUGCAGCUCCUGCUGUGACCUAAGAAACACCUUCAUGAUGAGGCUGACACUUCCAAGACAGCUUCUGAAACUGCUGGAUUGUUGUCCUAUCCCUAGAGUACGUCUCUGCACUGGGUAUUCAGUAAGGAAGAUUCAAGAUUUCUUUUAAAGAACUUUCAAGGCUCACUAACAUGAUUUUUGUGUUAUGAAAUCUAUAUUCCUGGGCAUGUGAAAGUUUCAGUUCAAAUACCCCUGUAUAAUGAGGGACUUUGGAAGCUGGAAGUUGACUGAUAGGAGAGAAGGCACCCUUGUCUCCCAAGCAAAAGCAUUUCUCUGCUGUGGGGAUCACACAGGAGAGUGAAUGUAUUGGAAUUGGAGCCUUAUUACCAGGGCAGGAACAAGUGCACGUUUUUCCUGAUACCCUAGAUGUGGAAAACUAGAUCAUAGAAGAAAAUAAAUAGUAUAAGCUGUCACUUUGUAGUUUGAACUCUGCUACUCCACAGCACAAGUACCAGGAAGAGAAUGCAAUGAUCUAAGCUAAUGAGGGAGAACUCGGAAACCUUGAUGCCAUUCUUAGUCUGCAGUUCUGCCUGUGCUGUGUGCUCAGGUGUCACUGAAGUACAUAUACCAAAGUAGAUUUUCGUGGCAUGUGUUCAGCUGCCUAGGGAGCCUUGAGUGCCUUGGGAAGACUUGUGUGCUGGAAUUUCAUUGUUGUCCAGCCUGGCAUGGGCAUAUCUGGUCAUUUCACAAUCCUUGUUUCCAGAUUACAGUUGGAGAAGACUUGAAAGUGUAAUUCCUAUUAGUAGAAACUCUCACAUUGGUUGUGUCAGCACAAUGUUUGGACUAAAUUGGCAGCUGUUUCUGAGAUAAAUUGAACUCAAAUUGAGCUUGUACAAUAAUUCUUCUUGGAAUUACCUUAUAAGUGAUAUUUGGAAAAGUAAAUCACAAUUUUUCAGGUCAAUUACUUAAUUUUGCACAAUCACACACUGUGACCUUAGGUUAGGAAGGAAAGCUAACCGUCCAUUGUCUGAUACCUGUUCCCUUGCAUGCUCUUAGUACACAACGAAUAUGAGCUAAUGUGCCUUAAUUUAGCCUACAGUGGAAGAAUUUUCAGUGUAAUUGAAUUAACUCUGUAUUUCCUGAAGAAUAAAAUAUACAUAUGGACAGGU